rnacentral:rRNA from 1 species
GACCGCCUGGGGAGUACGGCCGCAAGGUUAAAACUCAAAGGAAUUGACGGGGACCCGCACAAGCGGUGGAUGAUGUGGUUUAAUUCGAUGCAACGCGAAAAACCUUACCUACCAUUGACAUGCCAGGAACUUACCAGAGAUGGUUUGGUGCUCGAAAGAGAGCCUGGACACAGGUGCUGCAUGGCUGUCGUCAGCUCGUGUCGUGAGAUGUUGGGUUAAGUCCCGCAACGAGCGCAACCCUUGUCAUUAGUUGCUACGCAAGAGCACUCUAAUGAGACCGCCGGUGACAAACCGGAGGAAGGUGGGGAUGACGUCAAGUCCUCAUGGCCCUUAUGGGUAGGGCUACACACGUCAUACAAUGGGCGGUACAGAGGGUUGCCAACCCGCGAGGGGGAGCCAAUCCCUUAAAACCGCUCGUAGUCCGGAUUGUAGUCUGCAACUCGACUGCAUGAAGUCGGAAUCGCUAGUAAUCGCGGAUCAGCUUGCGCGCGUGAAUAGUCCAAUUCUU